rnacentral:rRNA from 1 species
GACGGAGGAUGCAAGCGUUAUCCGGAAUGAUUGGGCGUAAAGCGUCCGCAGGUGGCAGUUCAAGUCUGCUGUCAAAGACCGGGGCUUAACUUCGGAAAGGCAGUGGAAACUGAACAGCUAGAGUAUGGUAGGGGCAGAGGGAAUUCCUGGUGUAGCGGUGUAAUGCGUAGAGAUCAGGAAGAACAUCGGUGGCGAAGGCGCUCUGCUGGACCAUAACUGACACUCAGGGACGAAAGCUAGGGGAGCGAAUGGG